UCACCCCUCAAGCCCCGUGCUUGGUGUUGGACGGCCGGUCGAGUCCCCUCGACCCCUCCUUAAACAAAUGACGGCGGCCUGUGGUUCCCCCGGUACAAUGAGCUUCUCACCGAGCACGUACUGGACAAGGGCGCCCAGGACCCGGUCUCCUCCUUUUAGGAAAUUUUCUCAA
rnacentral:misc_RNA from 1 species